rnacentral:rRNA from 1 species
UACGUAGGGUGCAAGCGUUGUCCGGAAUUAUUGGGCGUAAAGAGCUCGUAGGCGGUCUGUCGCGUCUGCUGUGAAAACUCAGGGCUUAACCCUGAGCUUGCAGUGGGUACGGGCAGACUAGAGUGCGGUAGGGGAGACUGGAAUUCCUGGUGUAGCGGUGAAAUGCGCAGAUAUCAGGAGGAACACCGGUGGGCGAAGGCGGGUCUCUGGGCCGUAACUGACGCU